rfam:Burkholderia telluris isolate LMG 22936 genome assembly, contig: contig000026
AUCCCUUCGCUAAGGAGCUUCUUAUGCGAAAACUGACGGCUACUCUUAUAGUUAGCCUGAUAGGGUUGAUCGCGCUGUCCGUGUCGACCACGGCUGCCGCAUGUGGCGAUUCUUCGAACUCAAAUUAUUCGAGCCCGAAGUGACUGCCCGCCCGAAUGCGCUGAGUGCGCACAAAAAAAGGCCUUCAUCCGACGAUGAAGGCCUUUUACU